AUACGUAGGGGACGAGCGUUGUCCGGAUUUACUGGGCGUAAAGGGCGCGUAGGCGGUCAUUUAAGUCAGCUGUGAAAUGGUUUGGCUUAACCGGAUCAUGCGGUUGAAACUGGAUGACUGGAGUGCUGGAGAGGCAAGUGGAAUUCCCAGUGUAGCGGUGAAAUGCGUAGAUAUUGGGAAGAACACCGGUGGCGAAGGCGACUUGCUGGCCAGCAACUGACGCUGAGGCGCGAAAGCCAGGGGAGC
rnacentral:rRNA from 1 species